rnacentral:rRNA from 1 species
AUUGAACGCUGGCGGCAUGCCUUACACAUGCAAGUCGAACGGUAACAGGUCUUCGGAUGCUGACGAGUGGCGAGCGGGUGAGUAAUACAUCGGAACGUGCCCGAGAGUGGGGGAUAACGAGGCGAAAGCUUUGCUAAUACCGCAUACGAUCUCAGGAUGAAAGCAGGGGACCGCAAGGCCUUGCGCUCACGGAGCGGCCGAUGGCAGAUUAGGUAGUUGGUGGGAUAAAAGCUUACCAAGCCGACGAUCUGUAGCUGGUCUGAGAGGACGACCAGCCACACUGGGACUGAGACACGGCCCAGACUCCUACGGGAGGCAGCAGUGGGGAAUUUUGGACAAUGGGGGCAACCCUGAUCCAGCAAUGCCGCGUGCAGGAAGAAGGCCUUCGGGUUGUAAACUGCUUUUGUACGGAACGAAACGGCUCUGGUUAAUACCCGGGGCUAAUGACGGUACCGUAAGAAUAAGCACCGGCUAACUACGUGCCAGCAGCCGCAGUAAUAC